AAUCAACGCUGGCGGCGUGCCUAACACAUGCAAGUCGAACGAGAAAGUGGAGCAAUCCACAAGUAAAGUGGCGCACGGGUGAGUAACACGUGACUAACCUACCCUUGAGUGGGGGAUAACCUAGGGAAACCUGGGCUAAUACCGCAUAAUACCUAUGGGUCAAAGGAGCAAUUCGCUUUUGGAGGGGGUCGCGGCAGAUUAGUUAGUUGGCAGGGUAAUGGCCUACCAAGACGAUGACUGUAUCCGGCCUGAGAGGGCGCACGGACACACUGGAACUGAAACACGGUCCAGACUCCUACGGGAGGCAGCAGUGGGGAAUUUUGCGCAAUGGGGGAAACCCUGACGCAGCAACGCCGCGUGGAGGAUGAAGACCCUUGGGUCGUAAACUCCUUUCGAUCGGGACGAUAAUGACGGUACCGGAAGAAGAAGCCCCGGCUAACUUCGUGCCA
rnacentral:rRNA from 1 species